UUUUAGACAAGAAUUCUAAGGCCUGGAGAAACUGCACAGUAACACGCAGCUUGCAAGGCCAGGAACCAAAUCCACAACUGUCGACUCCUGGGCACCUUCUCUUUUUGCCUGGCUAUCUUGCCCCUCAGUGGCAUCAGGACUGGACUGGUCUCUCCAGGCCCGUGCUCUUCCACACUGCACAGAGCGCUGCCCCCAGGGCAGAUGGUGCAGCCUGGGCUCUAACGCCGAGGAGAAAGGAGUGCCAGUCCCACUCCAUGCCUAGAGACUGCCAUCCCCGCAACUGCCCAAUUCCCGCGUCCGUAACACGGGUCUCUCCCGCUAAAACACACGCUUUAUGACUCUGGGGGCCGCGUGGGUCUUGCAGCCAGGGCCUGGCGCAGCCCUCGCACAUGACAGGGGAGGCCUAACCGUGUGUUGGGUCAACAUCACCGGCACGCCGCGGCAAGGGCUCCCGGGAUCGCGGCUUCGCACCCGGACUGGCUGCGGUGGGGGAGCGGGGCGCCCGCCCCAGGCCCCGCGGGGACCCACGAGCACGAGGCGGUGCCUGGGAGUCGGGAGGCCUGGGUGGCGCUCAGGCAGCCCGCGCAGGCCUCGCCCUCCGCGUCUCCAGCGAGGCGGGGGCGGCGCCUGGGUCCAGGCCGGGGCCGCCGCGGGAGUCCCGGCCGCCCUCCCCUGCCCGGGGCAGCCCCCCGGCCGGACCCGUUACCGGUUCCGCUGCUCUUUGAAGAGCGCCGUGAGCGCGCGCAGGGCCUCCAGGUCUUGGAUGGGCGCCGGCACCAUGACGCCCGACAGCCUGGCAGGCGGCGGCCUGGGCGCCGCCAUCUUGCCGCUCACAGCUGGGUCGAGCCUGACGAGGAGGAGGAAGGUGCUGCAGCAGUUCACCAGAGCACGGAAGUGGCACAUCCGGGACUGAGAACUGGCAAGGCCAGAGGGCAGAAGCAAGUCACACAAGCCAGUGGCCCAAAAUCACGUCAUCUACCUCCGUUGCACUGAGCUAAAACCAUGCCCAGGAACUGGCGUCCCAAAUCUAAACAGUGAGGCUUGAGAAGCGGGCUGGAUUCCACGGUGCGCAAGUGUGCAGAGGACAUAAGCCGAGAAGAGGCCCUUGGAGAGGACAGAAAUAACAACAUCGUAGGCAGACAGUUGUGGGUUCUGCCAGUCACGCUUUCGCACAAGUCACAGCACUCAGCCUCAGUAAGCAGAGGAAAAUAACAGAAAACAAAGUUGGAAAGCAUGGCUGAGGAGAGGGAGAUAAACCGAGAUAAAUCGUGAAGAGUGGUUGAAAUAAGCUACCGACAGGCUUGACCCGCAGCAGGUGCCUGAUUCUGCUGGUUCCCAGUCCAGCCCCAGCUCAGGUGCACAAGGCGUCCGGGGGACUGCCAGCACUGCACAGCCCUUUCCAUACCUCCUGGAUGGUGACCUUUACCUCCGUUCCACCGUGGCCACCCAUACCCUGGGCCUUUGUCAUCUCUCGAAGGUUCCAACUGCACUCUGAAAUCCCACUCCCUGACUGCAGCUUCCAAAGCUGCCAGGAAACUGCCAGCUUCCAGGCCAGCCACUCAACAGCCUCCAAGACUCACUUUCCUCAUCUAUAAAAUGGGGUUUCUAAUAUCUGCUUUGCCCAGCACACAGAGCUGCUGGGAGAAUCAAAUAUGAUUAUGUAUAUGAAGAUACUUCACGAAUGAUGACAUUCUAGUAAGCUAGCAAAUAGUUGUCCCAGCCAUACCCACUGCCAAAUGGGCCACUCAGGAGAUCCAAGGAGAUCACUCUGCCGCGAAUGCUAUUUUAUUCAUAUCAUUCAGGACCUUCAUGGUGGAGGCUUGUUGACAUUGGCUUGUGGUUGAGAGGAGCUCCGGAGUCAAGCCGUCUGUGUCCAGAUCCCUGCCUCAAGUGCUACCAGCCAUGUGAGCUGAGUGCAUUAUAUAACUUCAGCAUGACUCAGCGUCCACUUCUGAAAGAUGGGAUGGACGAUGGUGACAGGGUCAUCCCAUUGGGUCAUUGUGAGCAUUCAACGAGAGGGCAUAGGACAGUGGCUGGUAAGUGCUCAUAAACCGUUAGCCGGCCGGGCACGGUGGCUCACGCCUGUAAUCCCAGCACUUUGGGAGGCCAAGGCGGGUGGAUCACCUGAGGUCAGGAGUUCGAGACCAGCCUGGCCAACAUGGUGAAACCUCGUCUCUACUAAAAAUACAAAAAUUAGCCAGGUGUGGUGGUGGGCACCUGUAAUCCCAGCUACUUGGGAGGCUGAGGCAGGAGAAUCCCUUGAACCCAGGAGGCGGAGGUUGCAGUCAGCCAAUAUCACACCAUUGCACUCCAGCCUGGGUUACAGAGUGAGACGCCAUCUCAAAAAAAAGAAUAAAAAAACCUGUUAGCCAUUAUUAUGAUCACACUGUUCACAAGUUCACCCCACUACCAAAAAAUGGCCACAUUCCACCCACUCCCCACCAACCAAAGGCACAAGCACCUCUGUCAUCUGCUCUCUCAGGAUGGUCACACAUCUCGAUGGCCUGGACCAUGAGCCAAGGGUGGACGUUCAUCCAGAAUGGCCCUCGCUUUCCAACUUUGUUUUGUUAUUUUUGUGCUGUAUAAAAACCCCACUGCUGCAGACACUACUGCCCAAACAAACUGUUGAGUAAUUAAUGGUUUGACCAUUUUUCAACCUCGGCUUCUAGGAGAGGAGACAUUUGUACACGACCUGGGAUGUCAGGAAACAAGACCAAGGGCUUGAAGAGGGUUGGGGCAGGUCUCCCGGCUGCCCCUCUGCAGCCAAAAGCCUCUCAUUGCUCCCCAGAUGUCUGUUUCUGCCCCCAAGCAUAGCCCAUGCCUUGCCCCGCACCUGGGAGGCUCUCUAGCCUCUCCCCGUGGGCCCUGCCAAGGCCUCCCUCCAAUGCAAUGCGAGUUGCCACUGCCCUCAGGCCCUCUCCAAGUUAGAACCCCACACCCAGCCCACAUUUACCCUGUGCGUGGACACACACCUCCUUGCUUUCUUUACCUUUAUGAUGAGCGCAGUGAUUGGUUUUGAACACGUUUCCUCGUCAGGGUUGUGUAUGUUGUAAAGCUGUCUUGUGGCCG
rnacentral:lncRNA from 1 species